AGCGAACGCUGGCGGCAGGCCUAACACAUGCAAGUCGAACGAACCUUUCGGGGUUAGUGGCGGACGGGUGAGUAACACGUGGGAACGUGCCUUUAGGUUCGGAAUAACUCAGGGAAACUUGUGCUAAUACCGAAUGUGCCCUUCGGGGGAAAGAUUUAUCGCCUUUAGAGCGGCCCGCGUCUGAUUAGCUAGUUGGUUGAGGUAAUGGCUCACCAAGGCGACGAUCAGUAGCUGGUCUGAGAGGAUGAUCAGCCACAUUGGGACUGAGACACGGCCCAAAACCCCACGGGGGGGCCAUGGGGGGAAAUUUGGGAAGUGGGGAAAAGCAUAACCUUCCCAUGCCGGGGAAAUGAUAAAGGGUAGAGGAAGGAAAAAUUCUUUCCCAGGGGGCGACAACGGCGGUCCCCGGAAAAGAAGCCCCGGCCAACUUCGU
rnacentral:rRNA from 1 species